AUAGAAUAGUUUGUAAAUAAAUCUUGAAUCCUGUAUGUGACGAUAAAUGUUUUUCAAAUUCAUUAAGUACAAAAGUGUGGUAACUGAUAAUGAUAGUGUUAGGGGAAGGUAAUCCAUACUAAAAAUACUACUUCAGAUUGAAACCUUAAAGUAUAGUUGUGUGUAACCUUUUUUUCUUUUGGGCAGUAAGAAAGCUCCUCUCAACUGAAAUCAGUUUCUACCACAAGAGUUGUUAUAUAUUGAACAGAUAGGGCUUCAAGAUGACAAAAAACAGCACCAACAAUAAUGGGCCAGGACUGAGGAGUUCCAAGAAAUGAGUUUUCUUCAGCCCACAAAUAUCAGUGCUGCCCCACUGCCCAAAACCAGAGUGUGGCAACAAGUAAAUGGACCCUGACAAAUGUCCUCUAUGUUAGAGCCAGCCCCUCACACAAGUGACCUACUAUUGCACAGCUGAGGUUGUUAUCAAACGCAGCAGUAGGUAUGAAAUGCGGAAACUGUUCCACCUUGAUCAUCAACAGUUGAGUUACACCUCGUCACAAUACCUGAACUGAAAACAAUUGGUGACGAUACUGCACUUCACUUCUACCUCACAGUGCUCUUCCCUAUAAACGCUAGAGUAAAGUUUGCAAAUGGAAAACUUGUCAUUGCAAGCGUGAAAAGACCAAUUGAUUCUUAACAAAACAACCUGCCUCAAUGCUUUAGCUGACACUACAUCAAGUCAACACAAGGCAAUUUGUUUUUCUCGCAACCUGACCGGUAUGUUGAAAUUGUACACAACCACUGGUCAAGAGUGGGAAUAUAGAAGUACAAGUUGUUCGAUCAGUUACCUAAAAUAUUCUUGAAUAUUUGAACAUAUAAUAAACGACUAUUCAUAUUGUGUGUAGUGUAGGUAAGAUCAAUGUCAAGGUUAUUUUGGCUAAAAAAAAGAAGGAAAAUGACUCUUAAUUCAGAACAUCAAUGAAAUAGCAAGCCUUAAGUAUUUUCGAUAAAGUGAUACAUAUAUUUUGUGGUGAUGUCAUAUCAUUGUUUUACUGUUUUUGAAGAGAAAACACAUGUUAUAAAUAUAUUAUCACAUUUGUGUUUUUUUAGCUCAACUAUUUGAAGAAUGAGGUGGGCUAUACUAUUAGCCCUGGCGUCGGUUUCCGGAUAAAGUUUUAGGGCAAGUUAGGAUUUUCACUUUGAAGUCCAAUACCCUUCAUUCAAUUGACUUAAUACGUCACACAGUUGUUCAGGGCAAUCAUAUAAUGGAAAAAGAUAACUCCUUUAUACAAGCUAUGGCCCCUGAUUGACUAUCGAAUUUACGUUAAAGUUUUAGGGCAGGUUGGGAUAUUUAUUAAUAACUUCUAUACCAUUCGUUCAUUUAACUUAAUACUUCACACAUUUGUUCAGGACCAUCACACAAUGAGGUUACAUAACUCUGUAUUAUCUUUAAUACAGGUUAUAGACCCUGAUUGACUUAGGUUAAAGGUUUAGGGCAGGUUAAAGUUUUAGAACAAGUUGGGAUUUUCACUUAUAAGUCCAAUACUCUUCAUUCCGUUGACUUAAUACUUAACACAGUUGUUCAGUUCCAUCACAUUAUGAGGUAAGAUAACUCCAUGUCAUAUUUUAUACAAAUAAUGGCCCCUGAUUGACUAUGGAACUUAGGUUAAAAUUUUAGGGCAGGUUGGGAUAUUUAUUGAUAACUUCUAUAUACCCUUCAUUGAAUUGACUUAAUACUUCACACAACUGUUCAGGACCAUCACACAAUGAGGUUACAUAACUCUAUAUUAUCCUUAAUACAAGUUAUGGCCCCUGAAUGACUUAGGUUAACGUUUUAGGGCAAGUUGGGAUUUUAAUAAAAAAAACUUCUAUACCUUCAUUCAAUGCACUUAAUACUUCGCAGAAUUAUUAACUAUCUUACAACAAGGAACACAACUUCAUGUUAGCCCUAAAUACAAAUUAUUGCCCUUGAAUGUUUUUUUUUUACUCUUCUUUUAAUUUCUUUUGAAAGGCACAUUUUUAUAUUCCUAACCACAUUUUCAUAAAGGGAAAAUUAUUUAUUAGAAUGACCUGUGUCACUGUUCGGGCGGGCUGGUGUUAGGACAGUGUCAAAGUCACCUUAUGUAUCGAAUAAUUUAGCUAGGUUUGACAUAAAGAGACAAAACUUGGUAUAUGCAAAGAGUUUAAGGAGACCUUUUUGGGGGAAUGCGUUUGAGGCCCCUAUGAUCAAGGUCAAGGUUGCUAUUAUUAGAAAAAGGGUUGUUUUUGAAUAACUUCUUCAUAAGUAAGGUUCUUCAUAUUGGUACCAAAUUUGGUAUAUAUGAAGAGUUUAUAGAGACCUUUCCUGAAAUUGUGUUUUUGACCCCGAGAGUUAUGGUCUAGGUCAAGGUCAAAAUAGAAAUAUGGUAAGUACUGAAUAACUCAAGUAAGGGUUGACAUGGUAACUUAGUUUAUGGGGCAUGUUUACGCAGAGCUUUAAUGGAUGCUUUUUGGCCCCCUAGGGUCGAGGCUACUGUUACUAAAAAUAGAUUACUGUUUCAGUUAAGGCUAACAGUUAAGGCUGGCAUACUGUGACCAAACUUGAUAUAUGCAGGAAAAGCUUAUAGCGCGGUCACGAGUAUGAGGACAACAUUUGUACCAAGUAAUAUGGCAAUCCAUCAAUGCAUAAGUAAGUUAUAGCACUGACACGAAAUGUUACAGCCAGACGGACAGACAGACUGACGAAGUGUUUCUAUAAUCCGCCAAUAAUCCCCACCCCACUCCGUGGCGGGGGAUUUUAGAUUUGAUAUUUAUAAAAUAGUGUACUUCCAUUUUUGCCAUUGUUGUGUUUUACCAUUAUGUCAAUAUGUUCAGUUACAGUUGUGCCAAUAUCUUAAAGUCACCAUAUAUGACUUUACAGAAUCUUUACAUUAUUUAAUUACUUCAUCAUAAUGAUAACUUAUCUUCCUAUUGUUUUCUUAAAUGUUCUGCAAUUUCAAUAAUUAUUUCCAAAACAUAUUCCUAAAAUCAGAGACAUUUGACAGUAUUAUAAGGCUUCUCACUCAAGGUUUUGUCUAUCUGAACACUGAUGUUGACAUAAUGCUCUGUGCAUAUCACUAUGCUUUUGCUAAGUUUAAUUCCAAAUAAUGUUUAAAUUAAUGUCUUAUAUGUACAUAUAUUUAACAAUGUUCUGUUUUUCAACAUCUUACUUAAACAGUUACAAAAUGUGAAUUUACAAGAAAUACUUGUAUUUAUAUCACUAUGUCAUUUUGCCAUGUCACCCUUCUUUACUACCUAUUUUGCUUAAAGCUGCACUCUCACAGAUUUACCAUUUUUACAACUUUUUUUUAUUGUUUGUCUUGGAAAGUGCAAAUUUUGUGUAAAUAUCUGCAAACAAAUGAUUUAAGAUUACUGACAAAAGAUCAAAUCACAGAUUUUUAUAUUUCCUUUUGAAAAUUAAUGUCUUAUGGCUUAAGCUGUUACUAACAGUUUAAGAAAAUUGCAUAAAACAUCAAUUUUUGAACUUAAGUAUAAAAAUCUGCAAUCUUUUUUUGUCAGCAGUCUUAUAUAACUGGUUUCAAUGAAUUUUCGCAAAAUAUGGCUCCUUUCAAGUCAAAAAAUAAAAAAGUUGUCAAAACGUUCAAUCUGUCUCUUUUAUAGGCACUGACUCUCCAUUUACAAACAUUAGAAUUCAUAAUGCUUAAAAAUGAAUGCCUGUUUCAACUUCUCAUCUUACCCUGCUUUUUUUGGCAUGACUGUUAACCAUUCCAUUGUGUGUUGUUGUUUUUCAUUUUCUAGAUUUAUGGGUUUUCAAACUUUAAAAAAUAAUGGCAUUUUGGCUAUCAACCAUAUCAGCAAUGCUUAUACUGUCUGAUAAUAUAAAACUCCAGGCAUAUCAUUUAUAGUUUUGGGUCUGACAACUUCAAACUUUUAAGUUAGUAAAUCAUUUAACAAAUAUUCUUAUUUUCAACCCAAUUAAUUCCAACAUAACAACUGAAACUGAGUCAAUUAAGCCCCCCCCCCCAUGUAAAAGAUAUUUAUCACCCUAUAAAUAGUUACAUUCAAAUACUGUGCAUUUGCUUACUAGGUACAUAUUACUAGGUUUUCAUGUAUUUUCAUUUUUAUUCUUUUCUUUCAUGCCUGUUCUAUUGCAUUGCUUAUGUCUUCUUGUACAUUGUGAAUACUUCAGUGAAAUAGUGGCAGCAUGUAUUUUAGUAUUGUAUUAAUUUGUCUGUGUGCAUUCUUAUUCCAUGUAUUGGUCAUAAUGUAUUUGUCGCACUUACACCAAAUUAUAACAAAUAUUCUUUCUAUUGUUUAUUACAUUUUAGUACAACUCUACCAUUCCCAGCGUACAUACUAACUCUGUUGUAUUUUUGGUUAUCAUGCUUUUUACUCUUUGUUGUAUACAAAAUGUAUAUAAAAUGUCAUAUUGCUCAUGUUCUUUCUUGUUUGUACAUAUGUUCACAUUUCAAUAAUACUCAAUGCAGUAUUUAUUCUUAUAUUUCAAUGUCAUAUUUUAAAGAAUGAGAAGUUCUACAGGCGAAAUAACAUUAACACAUUUCCACCAAACUUUGUACAAAUGCUUCAUUUUUCAUGUAUUAAAACAUAUUCCUCACUUCAUUUCAUUGUAACCUAUAAUUUUCAGCACUUUUUUCAUAAAUCUUUUGCGUCAUUAUAUUUCCACACACAUUAAGUGAUCAACUUCCUAGUCAUACCACUGUCAACCUGCAUCACAUUCUGCUCAUCAUUCUUAUAUCUUAUGCCUUAAAAGUGCAUAAUGCAUAAUGAUUACAUAAUGUUUAUUACCUAUAAGUGUCAGUAUAUGCUAAACUUGUUUCCUUUGUUUAAAACAUCCUGCAUGCCUAUAAAUCAUCUACGCCACAGAACAAGGAAAAUGACAUUAAUAAUGAUGAUCAGACUUCUUUCUUUCAGAUCAUGUAUAACCAACUUCUUUUAGUUUAUGUUAAAUACAUUUUUUUUUAAUUGUGUUAAAAUCUGUUACAUAAGCAAACAGUUUUGUGUGUUUUUUAGUUAGAAACAAAGGCUUCGUAUCACUUAAUUAUAACGGUCAACUUGUUUCGCUGAUUAUUAGCCAAAAGUAAACAUUGUUUUAAGCAGAUGUCCUUAAUUAGUUUUUUUGAUAAACCUUUGGUGCUACUCUUGUUUAAAGUCAACAUUUCACCAAAGUACUUCAAAUUCUCAACGUUUCGAACUUUGCCCAGAAUUUACCAAAUCAUGUUGGCAUAUUUAACAUUUCAGCUAUCAUAUCAGCCACUCCAAAAGAAAACCACCACUGUGGCCAUGUUGUAUUUUAUAAAUGUGCGUAUAUUGAUACAGUUCAUGAAUAAAGUUAUUUGAAACAAUUAUGGUUUCUGUCAUAGAUAUACCAUCAGUUGUACAAUUGUUAUUGUGUUAAGUUUUAUUUUCAUUUCAAAACAACAGCCCAAUUCUGUCAUCUUUUAAGUAACUUCAUUUCACUGA